AUCUAGCUGAAGUGUCCUAAAUAGGACGAAACGUGUGUCGUCGAU
rnacentral:hammerhead_ribozyme from 1 species